rnacentral:rRNA from 1 species
GUGGGGAAUCUUAGACAAUGGGCGCAAGCCUGAUCUAGCCAUGCCGCGUGAGUGAUGAAGGCCCUAGGGUUGUAAAGCUCUUUCAGCUGGGAAGAUAAUGACGGUACCAGCAGAAGAAGCCCCGGCUAACUCCGUGCCAGCAGCCGCGGUAAUACGGAGGGGGCUAGCGUUGUUCGGAAUUACUGGGCGUAAAGCGCACGUAGGCGGACCGGAAAGUCAGAGGUGAAAUCCCAGGGCUCAACCUUGGAACUGCCUUUGAAACUCCUGGUCUUGAGGUCGAGAGAGGUGAGUGGAAUUCCGAGUGUAGAGGUGAAAUUCGUAGAUAUUCGGAGGAACACCAGUGGCGAAGGCGGCUCACUGGCUCGAUACUGACGCUGAGGUGCGAAAGCGUGGGGAGCAAACAGGAUUAGAAACCCGGGUAGUCC